CUACGGGUUGUGUUAACUCCACCAACUCCAACUUUGGAAAGAAAAAGGGAUAUGUCAACAGACAGCAAACAAACAAACAAACAAAAACCUGAGACGCGCUCUCCAGAGGAAAACAGGAAGCAAGUUGGAGCCGGAUGCCCUUCGACUGACUUUGAGAAGAA